UACCUUACACAUGCAAGUCGAGCGGCAGCGCGGGGGCAACCCUGGCGGCGAGCGGCGAACGGGUGAGUAAUGCAUCGGAACGUGUCCUCUUGUGGGGGAUAACCAGUCGAAAGACUGGCUAAUACCGCAUGAGAUCGAGAGAUGAAAGCAGGGGACCGCAAGGCCUUGCGCGAGAGGAGCGGCCGAUGCCGGAUUAGCUAGUUGGUGGGGUAAAAGCCUACCAAGGCGACGAUCCGUAGCUGGUUUGAGAGAACGACCAGCCACACUGGGACUGAGACACGGCCCAGACUCCUACGGGAGGCAGCAGUGGGGAAUUUUGGACAAUGGGGGCAACCCUGAUCCAGCCAUGCCGCGUGUGUGAAGAA
rnacentral:rRNA from 1 species